rnacentral:rRNA from 1 species
UGGGGAAUAUUGGACAAUGGGCGAAAGCCUGAUCCAGCCAUGCCGCGUGUGUGAAGAAGGUCUUCGGAUUGUAAAGCACUUUAAGUUGGGAGGAAGGGUUGUAGAUUAAUACUCUGCAAUUUUGACGUUACCGACAGAAUAAGCACCGGCUAACUCUGUGCCAGCAGCCGCGGUAAUACAGAGGGUGCAAGCGUUAAUCGGAAUUACUGGGCGUAAAGCGCGCGUAGGUGGUUUGUUAAGUUGGAUGUGAAAUCCCCGGGCUCAACCUGGGAACUGCAUUCAAAACUGACUGACUAGAGUAUGGUAGAGGGUGGUGGAAUUUCCUGUGUAGCGGUGAAAUGCGUAGAUAUAGGAAGGAACACCAGUGGCGAAGGCGACCACCUGGACUGAUACUGACACUGAGGUGCGAAAGCGUGGGGAGCAAACAGGAUUAGAUACCCAGGUAGUCCCUGAGCGGGCUGGCAAGGCGCAU